UGGCGAUUGGUCUAGUGGUUAAGACGUCAGGAUAUUUACACAGCCCUGGAUACCCGAGUUCAAAUCCCGGAUCGCUAC